rnacentral:rRNA from 1 species
UACGAAGGGGGCUAGCGUUGUUCGGAGUUACUGGGCGUAAAGGGCGCGUAGGCGGCGCACCAAGUCAGGCGUGAAAGCCCUGGGCUCAACCCGGGAAUUGCGCUUGAGACUGGUGUGCUUGAGUACGGGAGAGGAUAGUGGAAUUCCCAGUGUAGAGGUGAAAUUCGUAGAUAUUGGGAAGAACACCGGUGGCGAAGGCGGCUAUCUGGACCGUAACUGACGCUGAGGCGCGAAAGCGUGGGAGCAAACAGG